UUUACUGUGAUCCAAUAUCAUGGUUCUGCACGAUCAUCUUACUCAAAAGACUUGAGUUCUCUUUCUAGGACUGGACAGCCACCUCCAUUUAACGUUAUCCUUGUGUGCUACUCGCUUUUUGAACGACACAGUGCACAGCAAAAAGAUGACCGCAAAAUUCUGAAGCGCUGGUGUUGGAGCUGUGUGCUAAUGGAUGAGGCUCAUGCUUUAAAGGAUAAAGGCAGCUAUAG
rnacentral:misc_RNA from 1 species